rnacentral:rRNA from 1 species
UGCUGCUGUUAAAAAGCUCGUAGUUGGAUCAAGAGUACAACAGUGCACGGUGGCCUCGUUUGUGUCCGUGGCUCCGGUCGCUGGCACGGCGGCGGAUCAACCCCUUGCAUUAAACUGUUGUCUCUAACAGGCCGAAGCGGUUCCCUGUGAGUAGGCCACUUCAUUGGGGCUGAAAGCGCUUACGCAUCAACCAUAUGCAUACGGGACGUCGGUCAAAGUUACUGUGAACAAACCAGCGUGUCCAAAACAGGUCGUAGUGCCUGAAUGUUCGAGCAUGGAAUAACAAGGGAUCGAUUCUCUCGGUUCUUUUUGUUGGUUUUUAACCCGAGAAGGAGUAAUUCAGGCCACGGUGUCUGAGUUGGGUUUCCCUUCACCUCGGUGGAGGCCCCAAUUAGGCCG